GAGUGCGGAAUCUCCGUCACUCGACUCUGCCAUGUAGCCAAUCACAACUAAGUAUUUCGCCCAUGCGCAGAAGGGGAGACUUCGGGCGGCGAAAAGCUUUGGGGCAUCUGCGCCAGAACGGGGGGACACAGCAACCAAUCAGAAC